rnacentral:rRNA from 1 species
GACGAACGCUGGCGGCGUGCUUAACACAUGCAAGUCGAACGGAGUGGCGAACGGGUGAGUAUUACGUGAGUAACCUGCCCUCAACUGUGGGAUAAGCCUGGGAAACUGGGUCUAAUACUGCAUAGUUGGGGAUGGGGUCGCGGCCUAUCAGCUUGUUGGGGGGGUGAUGGCCUACCACGGAGGUGACGAGUAGCCGGCCUGAGAGUGUGGUCGGCGACAUUGUGGCUGGUAUACGGCCCAGACUCCUACGGGAUGCAGCAGUGGGGGAUGUUGCACAAUGGGGUAAACCCUGAUGCAGCAACGCCGCGUGCGGGAUGACGGCCUUCGGGUUGUAAACCGCUUUCAGCCAUGACGCGGUAGUGGCAGAAGAAGCACCGGCUAACUACGUGCCAGCAGCCGCGGUAAUAC